UACGUAGGUGGCAAGCGUUGUCCGGAUUUACUGGGCGUAAAGAGCGCGCAGGCGGUCGUGCAAGUCGCGUGUGAAAGCCCCCGGCUCAACUGGGGAGGGUCACGCGAUACUGCUCGACUCGAAGGCAGGAGAGGGAAGUGGAAUUCCCGGUGUAGUGGUGAAAUGCGUAGAUAUCGGGAGGAACACCAGUGGCGAAGGCGACUUCCUGGCCUGUUCUGACGCUGAGGCGCGAAAGCUAGGGUAGCAACGGG
rnacentral:rRNA from 1 species